UGAAACAUAACAUGUUUGGACUUCAAACUUUACAUGAUUUUGCUGGAAACAUUUGACGGUUUAGAAUUAUUUUUCCCGCGAAAACGUAACAAAGUUAGUACAAACAUUGCAAACAAUACUGAAUUUGUCAAAACUCACAAAUUUACAGUAUGUUAGAACUUCACUAAGGCCUGUUUCAUACGUCGAAUUUAAUUCAGACGAAUUUAAUCACGGAUUUAGUGUUUGCAAGAUAAUUCCCGCCCAAUAUGAAUGUGUUUCUAAAUUUGGAAUAUUGACAGUUG